UCUGGGACAAGCCCUGGAAACGGGGUCUAAUACCGGAUAACACUCCUGCCUGCAUGGGCGGGGGUUAAAAGCUCCGGCGGUGAAGGAUGAGCCCGCGGCCUAUCAGCUUGUUGGUGGGGUAAUGGCCUACCAAGGCGACGACGGGUAGCCGGCCUGAGAGGGCGACCGGCCACACUGGGACUGAGACACGGCCCAGACUCCUACGGGAGGCAGCAGUGGGGAAUAUUGCACAAUGGGCGAAAGCCUGAUGCAGCGACGCCGCGUGAGGGAUGACGGCCUUCGGGUUGUAAACCUCUUUCAGCAGGGAAGAAGCGAAAGUGACGGUACCUGCAGAAGAAGCGCCGGCUAACUACGUGCCAGCAGCCGCGGUAAUACGUAGGGCGCAAGCGUUGUCCGGAAUUAUUGGGCGUAAAGAGCUCGUAGGCGGCCAGUCGCGUCGGGUGUGAAAGACCGGGGCUUAACCCCGGUUCUGCAUUCGAUACGGGCUGGCUAGAGUGUGGUAGGGGAGAUCGGAAUUCCUGGUGUAGCGGUGAAAUGCGCAGAUAUCAGGAGGAACACCGGUGGCGAAGGCGGAUCUCUGGGCCAUUACUGACGCUGAGGAGCGAAAGCGUGGGGAGCGAACAGGAUUAGAUACCCUGGUAGUCCACGCCGUAAACGGUGGGAACUAGGUGUUGGCGACAUUCCACGUCGUCGGUGCCGCAGCUAACGCAUUAAGUUCCCCGCCUGG
rnacentral:rRNA from 1 species